AGUCCACAUGUUGCAACCAUGCUUGGAUACAAAUGCCUCAAGUGUGAGACCCUCAGGGAGGACACAGUUCUGGGGAUAUAUGAGGGCCGCUCUCAAGCAAAUCUACACCAGGUCCAUGAAAGAACUGGCAGAAAGGGGCACGGUGGAAGCCAGAUUGUUCCCAGCAAACUGGUGCAAUGCUUAUGACAGCCAGAAAAGAAUACCUUCUAUCUCCUGGAACAGGCUGCAGCCCAGAGACCAUGCAGGAGCUGGCUUUGAACAGGGUGGUUCAGACCCAGCUUUCUGUGGAACUGCUCUCAGCUGGUGCAGCUUGGAGACAGCACAAAGGUGCUCUAACUUCCAGGCUACCAGAGCCUGUUUUCCUCACCGUGGGGCCGUGUUCCCUGCCUCCCACACGGCUGUGUGUGCAGCAGGACACGGAGACUCCUCAGGCUUAAUCCUGACCUCCUUCACAUGGUCCAUCAAACCCGGCGUCUCCUUCGGCCUGUCUGUCCCAUGGGCCCACCAAGGACACUUUUUUCUGUAUUUCCCUGUGUUUCUUUAAUGAUUCAAUGUACAAAUGUUCAACAUUUAUACAGUGUUUCACCUCUACAAAA